rnacentral:lncRNA from 1 species
CAACACCUUCAGUACCAUGAUUAUUUUGACCUGAUUCAGUUGAGAGGAAAUUAUCUCCAUUCCAGGGAAGAUCUUAAAAUUUUGAGAAAUCAGAAUGGAGUAGAUGAGAGAGGGAUUUAAAACGAUUGCCAGAAAGAGUCUUACAAACUUCAGUAAAAUCACCAUAAUUAUCCUCAUCAAUCACAGUAGGAGUUUGUAAAUGAGAGUUGAUAAUUUUGGAAAAAAAAAUAGAAUUUCGCACAAAAACUUUUUCCAAAGUUUGGAGAAUUUUUCUUUAAAAAAGAAGUUUGUAAAUUGGCAUAAAAAUUCCUUCACAACAGAAAGAUCAUAAGGACAGGCAACCUCAACUUUGAUCAAGAAAAGCAGUGAUCCUAUGCCUAUCAAACUCAUCAUUUGAAAAUUUUCUUUUCCUCAAUUUGAAUCAGAUUCAAAAUAAAAUAUAGGACUGAAAGCAUUGUUUACC